rnacentral:ncRNA from 2 species
AUACCAUGAAGAGAGACGUGAGGGAACUGGCCCUGUGACCGUCCGGCAACCUGCUUCGCAAGGUGCCAAAGCCAGCCCGAAAGGAACCAGAGGGGCCCCGGAAU